rnacentral:tRNA from 1 species
GCCGCUGUGGCGGAAUCGGCAGACGCAAGGGACUUAAAAUCCCUCGGUAGGAAAUACCGUAUCGGUUCAAGUCCGAUCAGCGGCACCA